rnacentral:rRNA from 1 species
CCCUUAGAUGUUCUGGGCCGCACGCGCGCUACACUGAUGCAUUCAACAAGCGUAGCCUUGACCGAGAGGUCCGGGUAAUCUUUGAAACUGCAUCGUGAUGGGGCUAGAUUAUUGCAAUUAUUAAUCUUCAACGAGGAAUGCCUAGUAAGCGUGAUUCAUCAAAUCGCGUUGAUUACGUCCCUGCCCUUUGUACACACCGCCCGUCGCUCCUACCGAUUGAAUGUGUUGGUGAGGAGCUCGGAUUGGCAGCAGUUGGUGGUUCGCCACCGGCUAUUGCUGAGAAGUCCUCCAAACCGCCCCAUUUAGAGGAAGGAGAAGUCGUAACA